AACUAAACCCGAUUGUACGAAUGCCAAUUCCUUCCAAUUGGCAGAAGGAAAAGCGGGACAGGAA
rnacentral:sRNA from 1 species